rnacentral:lncRNA from 1 species
AAAGAAGAAGCUAAAGAAUGAAACUCAGAGAAGAGGAAAAUGAGAAAGAAUGAAGUUGGUGUGUUUGGGAAUGGGAAAGAGCUCUCUAUUUAUACAGCUAGGAAAGAAUCAAUUAAAUAAAAGAAAUUAAAAAAAAUAAAUGAUUUAAUUAAAAUUUGAACGUUGAAUAAAAAAAAAUGUUGCAUUGAAUGUUGCCCCAAAGUGACGUUUUUCUCAACGUAUAACAUUCAACGUUGCAAUAGUUUCUUUUGCAAUAAAGCAACAUUAUUACAACAAUCCCCC